rnacentral:rRNA from 1 species
UACGGGGGGAGCAAGCGUUGUUCGGAUUUACUGGGCGUAAAGGGCGCGUAGGUGGCCCGCUAAGUCGAACGUGAAAUCCCCGAGCCUCAACUCGGGAACUGCGUCCGAUACUGGUGGGCUUGAAUCCGGGAGAGGGAUGGCGGAAUUCCAGGUGUAGCGGUGAAAUGCGUAGAUAUCUGGAGGAACACCGGUGGCGAAGG